rnacentral:SRP_RNA from 1 species
GCCGGGUAUGGUGGUGCAUACCUGUAGCCCCAGCUAUUCAGGAGGCUAAGACAGGAGGAUCGCUUGAGCCCAGGAGUUUGAGGCUACAGUGAGCUAUGAUAGUGCCUCUGCACUCUAGCCUGGGCAACAGAGUAAGACCCUGUCUCUA